rnacentral:lncRNA from 1 species
AUGGAGAGUUUAAAUUUAUGUUGCUUGCUUCUUGGUAGUAUGGGACAAUGGAAACAUAAUAUGAAGAACAAGAAGAUGUUAAAACCUUAGUAUGAUGAUGAUCUUCCAGUGAAAAUUGCGGUUGUUCAUGGCGGUGAUGAUAUGGCGGAACUAGAACAUUAACUUAGAGGCUGAUAGGAUGCUUGGAAUGCAUGGAAUUCAACUAGGAGAUGCUUAGAAACGUCGCCUAGU